rnacentral:lncRNA from 1 species
UAAUUUUUAAAUCAAAAGUAGUUGGCAGAUUCUUGUUAGCUUCACAAAAACAACUAUAUAAAGCAUGUUAACUCUUCUCUUCAUUCACACAGAACUAAAACACACAUAACCCUCUUAGCAGAUAACAAUUCUUCACUUUCUUGAAAUAAUUAAUGGAGAGUUUGAAGCUUGCCUCAGUUCUCACCGUUGUCUUUAUGGUUCUUGUGGCUUGCUCCAAUGUUGCAGUCACGACUGCCCUUGAUGUUGAAGCUCCUGCACCAUCACCAACAAUUGAGAGCGCUGGUGCAGCAUUGUUUGUUCCUGCUGCACUCGCUGCCUUGGCUUCCCUGGUUGCUUGUUUUGUUUGAUUACUAAAUGUAAUUUAGGCAUUUCAGAUUUGGCUUAUACUAUAUUUCUUAUUAUUUAUUAUUUGUGAUCAGUAGAUAUUGAUUGUUUCUAAAGAAUACUGAGCAAGAAACUAUCAUUUGCAAAUUUCAGAGUUCUAACAAACAUGUGAUUGUGGAUGAAACACAAAAUGCAGGAAAGUUGUUUAAACACAUACGAAACUUAAGUAAAAGAUAUUGUUUUCGUGAACAGAGCAUGAUAUAUA